GGCUAACUGUCCACCAUAUUGCACUGUGGAGUAUUGCUCAACCCGGCCUACCAGAACAGCACUUUGUACCCUGAGAGAACCUGAGGGUGUCAUGUGUGAUGCAAAGUGCCGUGUUACCUAUUGUCAUACCUGUUACUAUGACGAUGAGUAUCGCCCCCUGAUAAGUAGCUGCAAAACGUGCUCUGGUAUUGAGAAUGAGUUCAACAAGGCCAAGUGUUUCAGAAGGUGGGCGGUGUGUACGAGACGAGCUGAUGGAGAGGCCUAUCUCAAGGUACGUGCUCGGGAGAGAACCAGUGAAAAGUUUAAGUGUUACGAGCAACCCUGUGCCUGACUGAGCAGACAACAAUUAUUAUGGAAAUAAUGUAUAUAAAUAAUUAUGGUCAUAGUUACUAGAUCUAUUAUAAAUAGUGUGUAUACCAUGAGAACAGUAUAUUUAUUGCCUUUUGUAUAGCCCAACUAAAAUUUGUCUCGAUUAGCUAUAAUUAUAACCGUCUUAAGUUUAUAUUAACAUGCACAACAACUUGUCACAAGUUUAGUAGAAAAAAAAAUAUUUGGGUUUAAA